CGGUGGACAUUUUAAAACAGUCGCACAGAAGCUUGGACCUCUGCAGCUCUCCCUGGAUGUGGAAAUACGAUUGGUUUGGGAAUCUCCUGACUGUGACUUGUCAGCACUGCAGUUCCUGAGACUUCAGCACCGACGGCACAUCAAAAACACCUGGCCAGGACAACACUGAUGACAUGGGUACCACUGACACUGGUGACCCUGAUGCGAUUGACAUUUCCAGCGCUCCACUGCUUGUAUUAUUUCAUCUAACUCCUUUUCUUCUUCUCUCACCUACUCUGCUAGCUUUGCAGAAUGCUGCUUUAACCAUCAGACACCCAUCCCCAUUGCCAGCAGCCUUCUACAUGUUUUACUUUUACUAUUUUUCAAAGCUGAUUCUUCUGUCCUAACUUUUUGGAUUCCUCUCCAAGUUUCCCCACUCUUUCUUAAACUCAUAUGGAUUGGCUUUCUGCAUUA